CGCACGGGUGAGUAACACGUAUCCAACCUGCCGUCUACUCUUGGACAGCCUUCUGAAAGGAAGAUUAAUACAAGAUGGCAUCAUGAGUCCGCAUGUUCACAUGAUUAAAGGUGUUCCGGUAGACGAUGGGGAUGCGUUCCAUUAGAUAGUAGGCGGGGUAACGGCCCACCUAGCCUUCGAUGGAUAGGGGUUCUGAGAGGAAGGUCCCCCACAUUGGAACUGAGACACGGUCCAA
rnacentral:rRNA from 1 species